UGCAAGUCGAGCGGACAGAUGGGAGCUUGCUCCCUGAUGUUAGCGGCGGACGGGUGAGUAACACGUGGGUAACCUGCCUGUAAGACUGGGAUAACUCCGGGAAACCGGGGCUAAUACCGGAUGCUUGAUUGAACCGCAUGGUUCAAUUAUAAAAGGUGGCUUUUACCUACCACUUACAAAUGGACCCGCGGCGCAUUACCUAGUUGGUGAGGUAACGGCUCACCAAGGCAACAAUGCGUACCCAACCUGAAAGGGUGAUCGGCCACACUGGGACUGAAACACGGCCCAAACUCCUACGGGAGGCAGCAGUAGGGAAUCUUCCGCAAGGGACAAAAGUCUGACGGACCAACGCCCCGGGAGUGAUGAAGGUUUUCGGAUCGUAAAACUCUGUUGUUAGGGAAAAACAAGUACCGUUCGAAUAGGGCGGUACCUUGACGGUACCUAACCAAAAAGCCACGGCUAACUACUUGCCACCACCCGCGGUAAUACUUAGGUGGCAAGCGUUGUCCGGAAUUAUUGGGCGUAAAGCGCGCGCAGGCGGUUUCUUAAUUCUGAUGUGAAAGCCCCCGGCUCAACCGGGGAGGGUCAUUGGAAACUGGGGAACUUGAUUGCAAAAAAGGAGAGUGAAAUUCCACGUGUACCGGUGAAAUGCUUAAGAUGUGAAGGAACACCAUUGGCAAAGGCGACUCUCUGGUCUGUAACUGACGCUAAGGCCGAAAGCGUGGGGGAGCGACAGGAUUAAAUACCCUGUUAUCCACGCCGUAAACAAUGAGUGCUAAAUGUUAGAGGGUUUCCGCCCUUUAGUGCUUGCAGCAAGACGCAUUAGGCACUCCGCCUGGGGGAGUGC
rnacentral:rRNA from 1 species